rnacentral:rRNA from 1 species
UACGGAGGGCGCAAGCGUUGUUCGGAAUCACUGGGCGUAAAGCGCGUGUAGGCGGCCUGGCAAGUCGGGUGUGAAAUCCCGGGGCCCAACCCCGGAACUGCAUUCGAAACUGCUUGGCUGGAGUCCCGGAGAGGAAGGCGGAAUUCCCGGUGUAGAGGUGAAAUUCGUAGAUAUCGGGAGGAACACCAGUGGCGAAGGCGGCCUUCUGGACGGUGACUGACGCUGAGACGCGAAAGCGUGGGGAGCAAACAGG